GUCUCCCCUGCUAGACCGUGCCUGCUGUGUCCUGGGAUCUGUGUGGCUGUAAUGUGUCUGAUGUGAAUGCAGAGGAAGAAGGAAGGAUUGGGUGGGAAGAGCCUUCCCUUGCAAGUCAGUUCUGGGGAACUUGGCCAGGUGAGCACCCAGCACCCCUGGUUUGGAAGGGAGCAGGAAUAUACUCUGAUGGGGACAGACGGGCACCCCUUCAGUUGGCCCACCAAUGGCUUCCCUGGGCCUUAUUACUGUGGUAUAGUGUGGGAGCAGACAGAGCCUAUGGCAGGGAUAUUGUGGAGGCUUACUACCGAGCCUGUUUGUAUGCCAGAGUCAAGAUUGCUGCAACCAAUGCUGAGGUCAUGCCUGCCCAGUGGGAAUUCCAAAUUGGACCCUGUGAAGGAAUCAGCAUGGGAGAUCAUCUGUGGGUGGCUCGUUUCAUCUUGCAUCGUGUGUGUGAAGACUUUGGAGUGAUAGCAACCUUUGAUCCCAAGCCCAUUCCUGGGAACUGGAAUGGUGCAGGCUGCCAUACCAACUUCAGCACCAAGGCCAUGCAGGAGAAGAAUAGUCUGAAGUACAUUGAGGAGGCCAUUGAGAAACUAAGCAAGUGUCACCAGUACCACAUUCAUGCCUAUGAUCCCAAGGGGGGCCUGGACAAUGCCCAGCGCCUAACUGGAUUCCAGAAACCUCCAACACCAAUGACUUUUCUGCUGCUAUAGCCAACCAUAGUGCCGCAUCCGCAUUCCCUGGACUGUCAGCCAGGAGAAGAAGGGCUACUUUGAAGACCGUCAUCCCUCCGCCAUCUGCCACCCCUUCUCGGUGAUGGAAGCCCUCAUCCACACGUGUCUUCUCCAUGAAACUGGCGAUGAGCCCUUCCAGCACCCAAACUAA